rnacentral:rRNA from 1 species
CAACGUGGGUAAUCUUCCCUCGAGCGGGGGAUAACGUUCCGAAAGGAACGCUAAUACCGCAUAAGACCACGGCUUCGAGAGAAGCUGCGGUCAAAGUAGGCCUCUGAAUUCACGCUUACACUUGAGGAUGAGCCCGCGGCCCAUCAUGGUAGUUGGUAGGGUAACGGCCUACCAAGCCGAAGACGGGUAGCUGGUCUUAGAGGAUGAUCAGCCACACUGGAACUGAGACACGGUCCAG